rnacentral:lncRNA from 1 species
UACAGUAUCAGCUUAAAUGUUGUUGCUAUUGACUCUAGUAAAUCAAACACCUUUCUGCUCUGAUUCGGAAUGCCAGACUUUUGAGACACUGAAAAACUGAAACAAGUCGAACAAGACAGACUGGAAGGGAAAAUUAAAAAGAAAGGGAAAACUCAAGGAAGGCUGACAUCCCUGCAAGGAAGGAGAGGUCAAGAGAAGUGAGUCUGAGGAAGUGUUGGCCAAACUAUUGAGCUCAGGCGGGGCUAUGGUAGAUAUAUUGGUCUGACAAGGUUCAUAACUGAUGAUACCAAUUUGCAGCAAAUUGUUAAAAAGUUGUCAGUGAAGAAAGCUAUGUGGGAGAAGAGUUUACGCGGUGCCACUUCAGACGGUGACAACAGUGAUAAAAGGGAUGAUCAUGCUGGGAAAGUGUACAUGACUGAGAACAUUGUCACACAAGACAUUCACAACCUGGCUGUCAAACAAUUCUUGCUGUGAACUUGAACUUACUGAAAAGAUGGGAAAUACAUAUAUCAGUAAAGUAAAUAAUUCACAAAUUCAUCCUCAUAAGGCUCUAGUAAAUUCUAUAGAUGGCAAUGGUAUUUUGCCUGGAGCAGAUGAUAGUGAAGGAGGUUCUCUGGCAGUGUAUAAGAGGACUACAAGUGCUCAAACAAGUGAAAGUGACGACUAUCGCCUUGGGCUAGUGGGGCUCCACACGCAUGUGUAAUUUAGCAUCCAGUAGUUUACUGAUUGUUUUUGUCAAACGCUAAGAUUGAUUUUUUGUGUAACAUUGGGUGUGUUUAAUCAUUGAAGAAGAAUUUUCCAAGAAUAUUUUUGUAGAGAAACAAAAUAGAAACAUUGACUCCUCUUGUAAAACUUCAGUUGAAAAUUACUCUGUUAAUCUGUUUGAUGACAAAGAACUUAAUGAGUCAGGUGAUGGACAGUGUCAAGUUCUGUCAGAAAGCAAAUCUUUAUACCCACACAGCCUUCAGGCAGUUUUCAUAAUCAGAGUGAUGGUGCUUCAGCUAUAGAUCAAAAAGCUGUACCUCUGAAUCCACUACAUCCUUCAGAGAUCCCAAACUUAGGUUACGGUUUCCCACUCAGCUCUACUCUCAAGAAAGAAAAGUUUGCUCUUGGGAGAAACUGCAGAAUGUUGUCAUGCCAGCCAGCAGACCGUCUGACUCAGGGUAUCUCUAGUGGUAUUGAAUCGUUAUAUCGUGCGGCUGCAGCUGGUGUUGACAGAUAAGUGGAAGAUGUAUCGGGUAUGGCACAGGUUACGAUAGCAGCAAAAUGCCAGACCUUUCCCAGAAUAUGCCAGUAUGGCAAUAUCAAAGUUAGGAAUUUCUAUUGAGGUUUCACAAGAAGACUUGGAGGAAUACUACCAGAAUCACCUGGACAACUUGAGGAAGCUGGAAUGUUUUUUCCGCGGCAUCUUUGGCUCCUGUGGUGGAAGGAUUAAUUCUUCUCGACCGACUGGCUUAUCUCAGAGAACAGGUAACACAGUCAUCCUUGGUUAUAGCGCACUUGGUUUUCGUGAUUUUCAUUAUCACUCUUCCAUCAAAAUCUGCACACCUGCCUUUAUGGCGAU